rnacentral:rRNA from 1 species
UGGGGAAUUUUGGACAAUGGGGGCAACCCUGAUCCAGCAAUGCCGCGUGUGUGAAGAAGGCCUUCGGGUUGUAAAGCACUUUUGUCCGGAAAGAAAUCGCCCUGGCUAAUAUCCGGGGUGGAUGACGGUACUGGAAGAAUAAGCACCGGCUAACUACGUGCCAGCAGCCGCGGUAAUACGUAGGGUGCGAGCGUUAAUCGGAAUUACUGGGCGUAAAGCGUGCGCAGGCGGUUGUGCAAGACAGAUGUGAAAUCCCCGGGCUUAACCUGGGAAUGGCAUUUGUGACUGCACGGCUAGAGUGUGUCAGAGGGGGGUAGAAUUCCACGUGUAGCAGUGAAAUGCGUAGAUAUGUGGAGGAACACCGAUGGCGAAGGCAGCCCCCUGGGAUAACACUGACGCUCAUGCACGAAAGCGUGGGGGAGCAAAACAGGAUUAGAUACCCUGGUAGU